rnacentral:rRNA from 1 species
UACGUAGGGUGCUAGCGUUAAUCGGAAUUACUGGGCGUAAAGCGUGCGCAGGCGGUUUCGUAAGUCUGUCGUGAAAUCCCCGGGCUUAACCUGGGAAUGGCGAUGGAGACUGCGAGGCUAGAGUUUGGCAGAGGGGGGUAGAAUUCCACGUGUAGCAGUGAAAUGCGUAGAGAUGUGGAGGAACACCGAUGGCGAAGGCAGCCCCCUGGGUCAAAACUGACGCUCAUGCACGAAAGCGUGGGGAGCAAACAGG